GAUGAACGCUGGCGGCGUGCCUAAUACAUGCAAGUCGAGCGAACAGACGAGGAGCUUGCUCCUCUGACGUUAGCGGCGGACGGGUGAGUAACACGUGGAUAACCUACCUAUAAGACUGGGAUAACUUCGGGAAACCGGAGCUAAUACCGGAUAAUAUAUUGAACCGCAUGGUUCAAUAGUGAAAGACGGUUUUGCUGUCACUUAUAGAUGGAUCCGCGCCGCAUUAGCUAGUUGGUAAGGUAACGGCUUACCAAGGCGACGAUGCGUAGCCGACCUGAGAGCGAGGAGAGGCAGAUGGGAAGAGAGGAACGUGAGAGACACCGGCAGGGAGCAGCAGCGCAGAAUCUGACGGGAUGGGGUAAAGAUGAAUAGAGGAACGUAGGGGGAAUGAUGAAGGUCUUAGGAUGCUAGAGCUCUGUUGGUAGGAAAGAAGAAAAGAGCAAGUAACUAGGCAGAUCAUGACGGUACCGAAGGAGAAAGCCACGGCUAACUUAGUG
rnacentral:rRNA from 1 species